AGGAACAUGCAGGCACACACUGCUGCUAGAAGCAAUGAUCACAGGAACAAUGAGUUUCUUCAAAAGAAAAAAACAGGGCUCACAUCACAAGGGUCUAAGGAGUUCCAGAAUCGGCCUGCAAUUGAACUGACUUCUUCCAAGUACUACUCCACUGAAUAAUGGGGAAAAGGACAUUAAACACAAUACAGAGACUUCAUUGUGUCCUGGACGUUCUCUGAAGAUAACGGGAGCAACGACCUCAGCAGUACCCAGAAAACAAAUUAUUGGGAAGAAAACAUAGAGAACCAGAGUGAGAACCUGUGUUCACUGAGGGAAUUGUAUCUGCACAUGAGAGGCUGAGGCAGGAGGAUCAUUCGUUUGAGAUGAGCUUUAAUUCCACAAGGAGUUAAGUGCCAGCCUGGACUACAAAGAAAGAGUCUCUGUAUCAAGAAAUGAGAAUAAUUAAUGAAUUCCAGUAGCACCCUUUCCAUUUCUUCAAGUUGAUGUUAAGGGGGCAGUGUUGUUAUAAUAAACUGCUUUUUGUUUUUCUUUUCCUGCCAUGGGA